rnacentral:rRNA from 1 species
UGCGAUAUCUCAACCGUCAUCAAUCAGCAGAAAAAUUCACUUCACCUACCGCGGCCUUGCCCUUUUGCAGAAAGAGGAAACCACACAGAGGUUAAAGGCGCAUCAGCCGCAACCGCUGCCGCAUUUGGGUCAGUCAGCCUACCCUCUCUCUUGUUUAGCCCACCCACCUCGUGCUCAAGUCUCCCAACAAAAGACCACCACCUCCCCACUCCUGCUCCCUUCCGCGACUCAAGUCUCCAACCAAAUUCCCUUCCGAUUCCUCCACUCCUCUCGCCCCCCGAGGCACACACUCCCCCAAACCCUAGCUCCCCCCUCCCCCGUCGUCGCCCCCCCGCGCCGGACCGAACCCGCGCCGAGCUCGGGCGCCGAAUUCGCGCCGCGGGAUGGGCUCCGACUCCAAGGAGCUGCUCGGGAUCGAGCCCCUCGAGCUCCGCUUCCCCUUCGAGUUCAUGAAGCAGAUCUCGUGCUCCAUGGAGCUCACCAACAAGACGGACGACUACCUCGCCUUCAAGGUCAAGACGACGAGUCCCAAGAAGUACUGCGUCCGGCCCAACAGCGGCAUUGUGCCGCCGCGGUCCACCAGCAGCGUCGUCGUGACAAUGCAGGCGCUGAAGCAGGCGCCGCCCGACAUGCAGUGCAAGGACAAGUUUCUCGUGCAGAGCGCUGUGGUGACGGAGGGAACUGCAGUCAAGGAUAUCACUGGAGAGAUGUUUAAAAAGGAAUCAGGUAAUGUGGUGGAUGAGGUGAGGCUCAAGGUUGUCUACGUGCAACCACCCCGACCACCAUCGCCUGUGCGGGAGGGAUCUGAAGAGGGUUCGUCGCCUCGGCCUUCAUGGUCAGAUGGGGCAAACAUAAAUUAUCAAGAUAUGCAGGCAACAAGGGAAUCUGAUGAGCCUCCAUUGUCCUCAGCGCACAAGGAACCAUCUGAGAUAACCACUGAGACGUCCCCGUUGAUUUCAAGAUUAACUGAAGAGAGAAACUCUGCUAUUCAGCAGAACAACAAGCUUCGUGAGGAACUGGACCUUGUGAGAAGGGAGAUCAGCAAGCAGAAUGGCAAUGGUGGUUUCCCGUUGGUGUUUGUGGUUGCCGUUGCUCUGCUGGGAAUUCUGCUGGGCUAUCUCAUGAAAAGAUAGAGGAUCCCUGUGCCUGCGUCUUGUUAGGUGCUGGGAAUUCUGCUGGGCUAUCUCAUGAAAAGAUAGAGGAUCCCUGUGCCUGCGUCUUGUUAGGCUCCUGUCCUCAUCAAAAUGGAGCAGUGUUGUCAUCUCCAUUCUGAUGCGCUCAUUUACAUGUGCGGCACUACUACUUAACAGCACAAUAUCUUAGGGUAUGAUGUCGCCUGUAGUCGCAAGCGUCAGACUGGGUUGACCAUCAUACCCGGUCGAGUAGUCGUCACGAUUAACCUUAUGGUUGUUUGUCAUAUAUGGCUACUGUUAGGUUGGGCACUAGUAUAACUUGGUAUAAUUGUUAAAAAUGACUUUCGCCUAUCUAGUGUUGAUUGCCUCGUGGUAUAUUUGAAGUAAACUAACGACUUGGAGCGGAAAUUUCUCAAGUUUGGCCCAAAUUCAUGCAGUGGAUAGUGUAAAUGUAUUCCUCUUUGGAUGUUUUACUCGGCAAGCGAGCAGAGCAGUGCUCGGUU